ACGUUAGCUGCGGACGGGUGAGUAACACGUGGGUAACCUACCUAUAAGACUGGGAUAACUUCGGGAAACCGGAGCUAAUACCGGAUAAUAUUUCGAACCGCAUGGUUCGAUAGUGAAAGGNGGUUUUGCUAUCACUUAUAGAUGGACCCGCGCCGUAUUAGCUAGUUGGUAAGGUAACGGCUUACCAAGGCGACGAUACGUAGCCGACCUGAGAGGGUGAUCGGCCACACUGGAACUGAGACACGGUCCAGACUCCUACGGGAGGCAGCAGAG
rnacentral:rRNA from 1 species